GUGCUUUUGAGUCCGUCGUCUGUGAAUCACGGUACAUACAACAAGAGGCAGGUUACCAAACUCCAGCUCUUUGUUAAGUGCAGAAUCAGAAGCAUUUCUCUCCGUUCGCAUUUCCGCACGUAUACAUGUCAUGGACAGUCUGGCUUCAACAUACAUCUCAUUUUUCUUGGAGGGAGAAGCAUUAGUGCUAAAAUAAGUUCUCUUUGAUCCUUAUUAAUCUCCAAAACUUGCUCAACUCACUUUCACUCAAAGUUGUUGAAAUAAAUCGGUGAAAGUCCCAUUUUACAAUGUGUCAAGUACUUGAAACCAUUCUCAGUCAGACACAGAAUUCGUGGUGCGUUGUAGCGGUGAGAGCGUGAAUUGAUUUGUUUACGUAUUCAAUACCUGACCAUUCCGGACAGUCGUGUGUGUGCAUGGUGCGAGUGAAGCAAAAGUGAAACAAAGGUACGGUAUCGUUAGGAUGAGUCCAGUCAUUCUGCUCGUAAAGCAUAAAUUGUUAACCAGGGAGUAAAACUUUUAUUUGCCACGGCACAAUCAAAGUAUUUACUCAAACACCGGGUGCGUACGCGUGUUGAAAAGAAAUAAUAGACAAUCAUACCCUUAUCCAAACUCCCGAUCGUCGCUUUCUCCCACAUGCAUUGUAUUGUGCUAUGCAUAUUCCAUGACUGGUGUCCAGCCCGUGAACUCGCAGACGGAUUGAUGGUAUUGUAUUGUACAUAUUUGAAUCGUGAGCAUUGUUCGCUUUUUAAUUGUCGCGCAAUUAGAACGGCAGCUAUUUAACGGAAAACUCAACAGCGGCAUAUAAAUCAUUCAAUCCUUAAACUGGUCAUCAAAAACUAUCCCGGUGAACGUUUCUUUACUAAAACUUACAACUUGAACCACCAAGUAAUUAGAAGUAUGGGAUAAUUACCAUUAUAAUUCGAUUAUUAAUCUUCACUAAUAUUCCCUAAUCUAGAGAAAAUUCAAUUUGACCACUAAUCGAGUCCUCCAAGUGGAUAAACUGAUUAAACUUCCAUCUUAGAACAUUGAAUCGUCGUCUCAUCUACUCCGGUGGAUCAUCACAAUAUCUUAUUAAAAAGCUCCGUUCAGCCAAUCACCCAAAUUCCGGAACAAACUCCAUCCACCCAUCCAUCAAACCCAUUUAUCUCUCCUUUUGGAUUUUUCUUCUUGUGGCAAAACUGUGUAUCAUCAUCCUCAUAUCUUCUUCUUCGUGGUUGGAGUUUUUAUCUCAAAAAGAAAUGAAAGGAUAUCUCCUUCCUUUUGAACUGGUCUAGGUGCGUGUGCUGUGUGUUUUAGAUUUAAUGCGAUUAAUCUCGUUAUGCUCAAAACUUGAAAGGGAGGAAGAAUAAGACUUUUCUCUCACUCACUCACUCACUCCCGGACGAGGAGAGAGUGCAAGCAGCCAGCAAGAUCUCUUUUAGUCAGCACCACUCACUUGACUUAAUCCAUCCAUGCUCAAGACGAAACGAUACCAACUCUAAACUGGAGAUUGGAUAUACGAGUACGUAAUAUAUCGUUAUUUUAUCACUACAACGGCCAACGACGUCAUCCCGACCGACGUCCCCCAUCAACUGUGCUGAAAAAUACCACUAGAAAGUAUACAUCUUAAAAAAAUAAGGCCGAACAAAGGCUAGCCUUUUAUAUGAAAACCUUUGAAGAAUGUUUGUGAAUUGUUUAUUCAGUGACAACAAGUAGUGACGUAGUGAUAUACAUACGCAACACAGAUACAAUUUCACUUCUGGAAUCUAAAGACCCAUAGCAAGUCCAUGAUGCCAAGCAAGAUGAACAUUAUGCGUUUCCAUCUCGUCGUUGCGUUUUUGUUUGCAGUGCUAUCCACCAAUUCCGCGGAAGAAGACGACGAAUUUGACUUUGCUGCUUACUCACCACCGGGCCCCUACUUUGACAAAGAGUUUUCUCGAAAUGUCACCGCCCUCGUUGGAAAAACGGCUUCCCUGUCGUGUAAAGUUCUAAAUGCUGGAAACCGAACGAUUUCCUUUGUGCGUCACCGCGACAUUCACCUCCUGACGGUCGGGCGUGACACUUACACCAGUGACCAACGGUUCCAAGCUCUGCACAAGCCGCACACCAAUGAAUGGACGCUUCAAAUUAGGUAUCCCCAGAUACGGGACUCUGGAACUUACGAGUGUCAAGUGUCGACCAGCCCCCCAAUUGGUCAUUUUGUGCACCUCAUCGUCGUUCAGCCAAAUACAUCAAUUAUGGGCUCCCCGGAGAUGUACAUCAAUCGAGGGAGUACGAUUAAUCUGACAUGUGUUGUAGAACAUAGCCCUGAACCCCCUGCAAAUAUUUUGUGGACGCAUAAUAAUCAGGAAAUUAAUUACGACAGCCCACGGGGAGGAGUGUCGGUAAUUACAGAGAAGGGAGAUGUGACAGUUAGUUAUUUGCUAAUCCAGAAAGCCCGCCCAUCAGAUACCGGUAGAUAUUCGUGUGCGCCAACGUCGGCAAACGCGCAGGAGAUUCAGGUCCAUGUUUUAAACGACUUACGAGGCCCAGCAGCGAUGCAGCACGGUGGACAACUAAAGUUGGAGUAUCCAUUGUCCGCAUUUCUUUUAAGUAUAUCGGUCCUCGUCCUGGGAACUUGAACCCCUUCGUCGUGCUAAUUUUAGCCUAACUCCAAUAACCAAUUUAAGAUGUAUGUAUGUAGGUUCGAACAAUAAUCUUAGAUGAAUUGAGUAAGCAGUGUAUGUGCUGAAUGUGGAAGACUUUUUACAGUGACUGAUUACAAAAGUUUACAGAAAAGCUCCGUAUACAAUGUAUCUUCACGACGAUAAUCCGAUUCUUCUUGUUUAAUUCAUUACCUACACAUAUUCAUAUUACUAAUAUUCUAAGAUUAAGUAGGUGGAUUAUUAUUAUGGUGCAAGUGAAAAGUGAGACUUUACAACUUAAUUGGAACGAAGAUUACAGAGAAGCAGCUUAUGGACACAUAAUGAUUAUCUUUAUACAGAUUUAAUAAUAAUGUUAAUACUCGAUCCUCAAAACGUUAGCCCAAAAUCCAUUCAAAAUGGGAUGUAGAUAAUCUGGGAUAAACUUUUAUUCCUGUUUUUGGAUGUGCGUAUGUACUGCUAUCUAUGCGACAGUAUAAAUAUUGCAAUAUAUUAUUAUACAUGUAUAUCAAAUAUGUAUGGAUUACAAGAUAUGCAUGGCCACGAAACGGUCAGAGUCGAACGUCAAAUAUUGGCCUCUGAUCAAAAGCAGCUUAAGCAUAACAAAAGUUAAACCUUGCUCCAAGUAAACUUGACUUUAUAUGAAUUAUGGAGUUGGUUAUUAUUGGUUCGACGACGUACUCCAUCUCCCCAGCCACCACUGAUCCUUAACCUCGCCCUGCUAAUAAAUAAAAUAUCAUCGCAACAGAAACCGCCUGGAAAGUGAGCAUGGUCAAUUUCUCAAUAAAAAACCGAUUUCCGGGAGAGAUUUCUCUCGGGAACAAAUCCGAUUUCAGAGAUUGUCAUGUGACUCCAGCCAUUCCCAAGAAAUGCAAUCGAAUCUACUUUUUGUCUCAUCACCAACCAACUUCCUAUCCACACGCCAGUUCAGGGCCGCUUCUGUCACACAAGAUCGGCUGAGGCAGAAAAGGGUUUUGGAUUUCGUUGCAGUGUCGUCUCGUGGUUUGAGUGGUGCAUUGGACGCUACAAUAUUUCGACAUCUUUCACACAGCAAAAACUGCACUUGUCCUGCUCAUGUCUCGGGUAGAAAUUGUCUUCAGAGAAAGAUUUUUGCCAGUUACUUAGGAGAAAAGAGGCGGCUGGUGUAUGUAUCGGAUGGAUUAUUUGUUGUCAUCAUGAAAUACUGACUGCUCGAGCUGAUGGGAUGACAUAAAGUUAUGCUUCUCUUCAAUAUUUGAUCCAUCGAAUUAAUAUAUUUCUUCUUGACCCCCAAAGCUCCAACAACAAGUUGCUGAAUAUAUGUACCCAUGUAUACUGACAAUGAGGAGGUGUCAGUUUUGGGACAAAUCAAGUUUAACCCCCAAACCCUGCAGUUCGACUUGCAUGAUUAGGACAUGAUUCGAAUGAUUACUUGUGUGUGUCCUGUUACUCUGGCCGUACUGAGUUUUUAAAGAUGUCUUAUAUAAUUAAGUGCUGAAUAAUAACUUUAUAUAAUAAAUAUGUUCAUUUUCAGUCUGCUUGAUCCUAGUGUGAAAUUAGUUGGUUAUAAUAAUUAAAUAUAACAAAUUUUGCUAGUUACAUACAUAUUCUUCAAUCAUGUAAAAUGAUAUUUGCAAAUAACAAUAAUUGAAGCAGGAAUAAGAGGUGCGUAUAAUUAGGUAUGCAUAAGAAUCAUACGUAUGUGUGUAAGUAAUAAAUAUUUGUUCGUCUCAUCAAUGUAUAUAUGAACAUAUAUAAUAUGUAUAUAAAUCGUCCAUAAUUCCUGAUUUGCGUGCGCUCUGCAUAAAUAUGUAUGUAAAUAUGUGUACAUAAUAAUAUUGACUAACUAUAUAUCUAAAAUAUGCAUAGGCCAGUGCAACGAAAUCAAGUUGUACUUUAUGGUUGCGAGGAGAAAAAAAGCAAGGUUGAAUUUAAUGUUUCUAAAAAUACGAAGGGAAUUGAACCUUUCGACUAAUUUAAACUAAAUACUUUAAAUAAAGUGAAAUGUAUUCUUAUGUAAUAUGUAAGAUCAUAUGUACAAUGUCCAUUUAAGGUGUAGCUGCUCCUCUAGUUUUGUAGGACAAAGCAAAAAUGAGUAAGUGAAUCGAUUAAGUACUUAAGUUUGGGGCUGAGUGAGUCAUUUGGAAUAAAUAAAAUCGAAAUGAAAUUGGAAAAAG